rnacentral:rRNA from 1 species
GGCGUGCCUAAUACAUGCAAGUCGAGCGCAGGAAACAAGUAGAUCCCUUCGGGGUGACGCUUGUGGAAUGAGCGGCGGACGGGUGAGUAGCACGUGGGCAACCUACCUUGUAGACUGGGAUAACUCCGGGAAACCGGAGCUAAUACGGGAUGAUCAUUUGAAUCGCAUGAUUGAAAUGUAAAAGUGGGGAGUAAUCCUCACACUAUGAGAUGGGCCCGCGGCGCAUUAGCUAGUUGGUAAGGUAAUGGCUUACCAAGGCAACGAUGCGUAGCCGACCUGAGAGGGUGAUCGGCCACACUGGAACUGAGACACGGUCCAGACUCCUACGGGAGGCAGCAGUAGGGAAUCAUCCGCAAUGGGCGAAAGCCUGACGGUGCAACGCCGCGUGAACGAUGAAGGUUUUCGGAUCGUAAAGUUCUGUUAUGAGGGAAGAACAAGUGCCGUUCGAAUAGGGCGGCACCUUGACGGUACCUCACGAGAAAGCCCCGGCUAACUACGUG